rnacentral:snRNA from 1 species
GGAGUCUCUGAUGCCAUC